rnacentral:tRNA from 1 species
UUAAUUGAAACCAAAAAGAGGUUUAUUACUGUUAAUAAUAAAAUUGAGACAACUCCAAUUAAA